GCCCAGGUGGCGGAAAUGGUAGACGCGCAUGGUUGAGGGCCAUGUUCUCAUUAGAGAGUGCUGGUUCGAGUCCAGUCCUGGGCA
rnacentral:tRNA from 1 species